UUAAUCUCAUCUUUCCAUCACAGUGGACUCUGAUGUUUGGACAUCAAUUUUAACCUGGGACUGAGACUUUUAAGGCAUAGGACAGAUGCUUCUCAAGGAAGUGAAGUUGUAACGUGACCAGGAGGGAGACAUGAUCAUCAAAAUCAAAAUGUAAUAACUCCCAUUGAUGUUCAUGCAGUUGAUCCCAUGGAAAUCCCUGGGUGGCCAACGGGUAGGAGGAAGAGCUGACGUCCUCCAGCACCAUGGAAUCUGGCAACGCACUGUGGACAGAAGCCGCCACCUCCACCUGCAGAGAGUCUCAAAUCAACAUCAUCAGCCUUGGAGCUUCUGUCGUGGCAAUGGUUGUAUGGUUUCAAGUCUCCUGGCAUAAGUCAAGAGUCAAGCCUCAAGCCCCUGGAUCACAAGAUGAGUCUAUC